rnacentral:rRNA from 1 species
CGUGUGCUUACAAGUAGUCAGAGCCCGUUAAUGGGUGAUGGCGUGCCUUUUGUAGAAUGAACCGGCGAGUUACGAUUUGAUGCAAGGUUAAGCAGUAAAUGUGGAGCCGUAGCGAAAGCGAGUCUGAAUAGGGCGUUUAGUAUUUGGUCGUAGACCCGAAACCAGGUGAUCUACCCUUGGUCAGGUUGAAGUUCAGGUAACACUGAAUGGAGGACCGAACCGACUUACGUUGAAAAGUGAGCGGAUGAACUGAGGGUAGCGGAGAAAUUCCAAUCGAACC